AAUGAUGAAAAUCAUCACAGCUCUGAUGACAUCACAGAGCUGUGAUGUCAUCACAGAGCUGUGAUGUCAUCACAGAGCUGUGAUGAUGUCAUCAGAGCU